CGCACUUUGUGGCGAAGUUAACGCGAUAAGUCGACCGCCUGGGGAGUACGGCCGCAAGGUUAAAACUCAAAUGAAUUGACGGGGGCCCGCACAAGCGGUGGAGCAUGUGGUUUAAUUCGAUGCAACGCGAAGAACCUUACCUACUCUUGACAUCCUGCGAACUUGUGAGAGAUCACUUGGUGCCUUCGGGAGCGCAGAGACAGGUGCUGCAUGGCUGUCGUCAGCUCGUGUUGUGAAAUGUUGGGUUAAGUCCCGUAACGAGCGCAACCCUUGUCCUUAUUUGCCAGCGGGUAAUGCCGGGAACUCUAAGGAGACUGCCGGUGACAAACCGGAGGAAGGUGGGGGCGACGUCAAGUCAUCAUGGCCCUUACGAGUAGGGCUACACACGUGCUACAAUGGCCGGUACAAAGGGUUGCGAGCUCGCGAGAGUCAGCUAAUCCCGAAAAGCCGGUCUCAGUCCGGAUCGGAGUCUGCAACUCGACUCCGUGAAGUCGGAAUCGCUAGUAAUCGUGAAUCAGAAUGUCACGGUGAAUACGUUCCCGGGCCUUGUACACACCGCCCGU
rnacentral:rRNA from 1 species